GGUGCUGUGGCUUAGCUGGUCAAAACGCCUGUCUUGUAAACAGGAGAUCCUGGGUUCAAAAUCCAGCAGCACCU